UUCAGCUUACAGCAUUCACAUUAGCAUCAUUGCAGGCUAAACUUCAUCAUUGGAGAAGCUAAAUGAACACAAAAGGAUUCUGCUUCCUCAGAGUCAACGAUCCAAACCUGUGAUGAAGGCCGGAACCCCCCAGCCGAUCAGGUAGUAGAACCUCAUGGGUCCGUAGUUGAUGUCUCUGACUUCACAGAUCAUGCGGUAGACGUGCAGCCCCUCCAGGAAGAGCCAGGAGAAGGAGCAGAGGUAGAAGAAGUGCAGCAGGAUGGCCAUGACCGUGCACAGGAACUGUCGGGACAGAAGAGCGCAUGGCCCUCAAGCUCAGGAGGAAGACGGCGGUGAGGAAGAGGAAGCCCAGCGUCACUCCAGCCGUGCUCCACGUCAGGAUUUUGAAGGGCAGGAUCUCGCCGUUCUGAUGCAAACAUCCCGUUUACUCCAGG